AACUCUGUGGGAGUUUAUUUUUGUGUAAAUACAUCAUCAAACAGCCCCUAAUUCAGUCCCAAGCUACAGUAUAUAAGAUGAGCCGCUGCCACACUUUGACAAGUUCAUCAGCUGGUAACAAACCUGCUCACAGCUCAGAUCUAGACUCAGAUUUGGUGCCUUUCAGCGUCUCAACAUGUGUUCGAGUCUCUCCACCAGCCGCCUGAUUCUUCUGAUCUCCCUGAGUGUGAUGAUGCUCAUCUUUGUAUCAGGGGCUGACCACGUGGGACAAACCUGCUAUAAAACAUAUUCUAACAGUGGUGUAAUAAACACGUCUACACCUAAAUGGGCAAAAAACAUCAUCAGCUGCUUUGAAGAUGACAGACGUGGCUGCCUACAUGGCUAUGAGGUCAAAACACGUGCAGAAAGAACAUUUUUCCUCAGACCAAACACCCAGUGGAUAAAAAGGAAAAUAAAUGAGAAGACUCUGCUGUGUCCUCCACUGAUUUCUAAAUGAUGAUGAUGGAAAUGAUGAAACAGAAAUAUUUGUUAAGAAAUUUUGAUUAUUUUUGUAAAUUGUUUCUGGACCUUAAAAAUAGUCUUGUAGUAAUAUUUAUUAAAAAUGUCAUUAAAUAUGAAGGUUUGAAGUUUACUUAUUCUGUCUUCAAUCUGAAGCCAGAUUAAAAUAAAAGCCUUUAAAAUCAGAUUUAUAAUGAUGUGUGUGAUUAUUUAGUAUUUGCUGUGACAACAUAUUCUCAUGAUGAUGUCAUGAUCUCAGGACACCAGGAGGCACAGAUGGCAGAAAUCACUUGGAAAGUUUUCCACGAAUACAUAAACUAUCACCACAAGGACACAUAAAUGGAUGCUCUACAAACUAGAAACACAAAGAUGUUCAACUAGAGGAAAAAACACAAAGAUGAUGAAUUAAACUGGAUGAAAAGAUUAAAGUGAGAGAAAGUCGCAAAACUGUGAGGUGCUGUGUGUGAGAUGUGUAUAAAAUGUAGCUGUAUACAAAAUAAAAUAACUAAUAUGAAAAUGAACACAUCAAAUACCCCCAUGACUCUAACAUAGGAGACACAUUAGAGACUGCAGGUUGCCUGUUUAUGUAAUUAUACUUACACAUUAGACUUAGACUGCAAAUGACUGACUCCACUCCUCACACCUUAGUGCCCCCCCACUACAGAAGAAAAAGAGGAGAUAACAGGAUGUUAACACACAUCUUU
rnacentral:lncRNA from 1 species